GCCCCCGUAGCUCAGCGGCAGAGUAGGAGGCUACGCCUCCAGGCCGCUGGUUCGAUUCUAACCGGGGCAACUUGGCG
rnacentral:tRNA from 1 species